rfam:Hordeum vulgare subsp. vulgare, WGS project CAJW01000000 data, contig: morex_contig_9663
CAAAUAGUACCUCCGUCCGGAAAUACUUGUCCUAAAGAUGAAUGUAUCUAGACUUAUUUUAAUUGUAGAUACAUUCAUUAUAUGUAUUUUUAAGACAAGUAUUUCCAAACGGAGGGAGUAUUCU